rnacentral:rRNA from 1 species
AUUGAACGCUGGCGGCAGGCCUAACACAUGCAAGUCGAACGAGUGGCGGACGGGUGAGUAAUGUCUGGGAAACUGCCCGAUGGAGGGGGAUAACUACUGGACACGGUAGCUAAUACCGCAUACCCUCGGAUGUGCCCAGCUGGGAUUAGCUUGUAGGUGAGGUAACGGCUCACCUAGGCGCCGAUCCCUCGCUGGUCUGAGAGGAUGACCAGCAAAACUGGAACUGAGCCACGGGCCAGACUCGUACGGGAGGCAGCAGUGGGGAAUAUUGCACAAGGGGCGAAAGCCUGAUGCAGCCAUGCCGCGUGUAUGAAGAAGGCCUUCGGGUUGGAAAGGACUUUCAGCGGGGAGGCGUUACCCGCAGAAGAAGCACCGGCUAACUCCGUGCCAGCCGCCGCGGUAAUAC